rnacentral:rRNA from 1 species
GGAUGAACGCUAGCGGCAGGCUUAACACAUGCAAGUUGAGGGGCAGCAUGAGACGGAGAUUCGUCGAAGUCUUGAUGGCGACCGGCGCAAGGGUGCGUAACGCGUGAGCAACUUGCCCGUUUCUGGGGAAUAACCGGUGGAAACGCCGACUAAUACCCCAUAGUAUUGAGUUUAGGCAUCUUUACUCAAUUAAGAAUUUCGGAAACGGAUAGGCUCGCGUGACAUUAGCUGGAUGGCGGGGUAACGGCCCACCAUGGCAACGAUGUCUAGGGGUUCUGAGAGGAAGGUCCCCCACACUGGAACUGAGACACGGCCCAGACUCCUACGGGAGACAGCAGUGAGGAAUAUUGGUCAAUGGACGCAAGUCUGAACCAGCCAUGCCGCGUGCAGGAUGACGGCUCUAUGAGUUGUAAACUGCUUUUGUAUGAGGGUAAUAUCAGGUACGUGUACCUGCUUGAAAGUAUCAUACGAAUAAGGAUCGGCUAACUCCGUG